GUGAGUCAUCGAAUCUUUGAACGCAUCUUGCGCUCUCUGGUAUUCCGGAGAGCAUGUCUGUUUGAGUGUCAUGAAUUCUUCAACCCAAUCUUUUCUUGUAAUCGAUUGGUGUUUGGAUUCUGAGCGCUGCUGGCUUCGGCCUAGCUCGUUCGUAAUACAUUAGCAUCCCUAAUACAAGUUUGGAUUGACUUGGCGUAAUAGACUAUUCGCUAAGGAUUCGGUGGAAACAUCGAGCCAACUUUAUCAAGGAAGCUCCUAGUCUAAAAGUCUACCUUUUGAUUAGAUCUCAAAUCAGGCAGGAUUACCCGCUGAACUUAA
rnacentral:rRNA from 1 species